rnacentral:misc_RNA from 1 species
UACUUCUUUCUAUAGUAUGUAACAGUUUUUGCAUCAUUUUCAAUGCCAAUUUUGGUCUUUCAAGACUCUGCACUAUAACUAUUCUGGAACCACACCUUGGUUAAGUUGGAGUGCUUAAUAGAAAGAGGGGGAGACAGUAGAAGUGAACUCCCCAGUACAUGUCCUAGUAUCAGCUUUGUAGAAUGAUUUCCAGGCUUGUUUCCUUGCCAUACUGAGAUUUUGAACAGGACGCAUUUGGAUUGUUGCAUGUUGCAGGAAAGAAUAACAUAACUUAGAGGAUUUUUUUUUAACUUUGAAAAUUGAGUUGCCAUUUCUGGCUGGACUGUUGCUUUUAAUUAGUAACCGUAAUUGUUUAAUACUUUCAAGUUGAAAUCUGAUUUGCCAAUGUCUAUAAUCCACUAUAUCUGUGUCUCCUAUGUUAAUUGAAGUCUCAACUAUUGUUAUGCCCUUAGUUAAUUCCUUCCCUUGAAGGCAAUUUUUUGUUAUUUUGUCAUGAAAGGGGAAAACAUCACAACUUUGAUGAUUGUGCUUAUCUAUCUGCAAAUGUACUUCUAGGGAAUUUGAAGCUUCCAAUCUGGACUCACAAAUAUUUUUUUAUUUAUUCUAUUCUUAAAAAAUGGUGGCUGGUUGCUCCCAACAUCAAAGUCCUUGGUUUAGUAUUAUCUUAUAUGUUUUACCAGCAAUUUCAUGCGACCUUUGAGCUCCUCAAAAAAAUAUUCUGGUUUUUGCUGAAGGUUAAAAGAGGUAAAAGUCUUUUUAUCCAGUAUUUGAUUGUUAAAACUAACGAUACAAUCAUAAAAAUUUGUGUUCUAUUCCUUUUGCUCAUUAAAAUGGACCACUUUCUUUUGAGCCG